rnacentral:rRNA from 1 species
CCUACGGGGGACAGCAGUGGGGAAUAUUGGGCAAUGGGCGCAAGCCUGCCCCAGCAACGCCGCGUGAAGGAAGAAGGCUUUCGGGUUGUAAACUUCUUUUCUGAGGGACGAAGAAAGUGACGGUACCUCAGGAAUAAGCCACGGCUAACUACGUGCCAGCAGCCGAGGUAAUACGUAGGUGGCAAGCGUUAUCCGGAUUUAUUGGGUGUAAAGGGCGUGUAGGCGGGAAAGCAAGUCAGAUGUGAAAACUAAGGGCUCAACCCUGAGCGUGCAUUGGAAACUGUUUUUCUUGAGUGCUGGGGAGGCAAUCGGAAUUCCGUGUGUAGCGGGGAAAUGCGUAGAUAUACGGAGGAACACCAGUGGCGAAGGCGGAUUGCUGGACAGUAACUGACGCUGAGGCGCGAAAGCGUGGGGAGCAAACAGGAUUAGAUACCCGAGUAGUC